GCAGCCGCGGUAAUACGUAGGGUGCAAGCGUUAAUCGGAAUUACUGGGCGUAAAGCGUGCGCAGGCGGUUGUGUAAGUCAGAUGUGAAAUCCCCGGGCUCAACCUGGGAAUUGCAUUUGAGACUGCACGGCUAGAGUGUGUCAGAGGGGGGUAGAAUUCCACGUGUAGCAGUGAAAUGCGUAGAUAUGUGGAGGAAUACCGAUGGCGAAGGCAGCCCCCUGGGAUAACACUGACGCUCAUGCACGAAAGCGUGGGGAGCAAACAGGAUUAGAUACCCUGGUAGUCCACGCCCUGAACGAUGUCUACUAGUUGUCGGGUCUUAAUUGACUUGGUAACGCAGCUAACGCGUGAAGUAGACCGCCUGGGGAGUACGGUCGCAAGAUUAAAACUCAAAGGAAUUGACGGGGACCCGCACAAGCGGUGGAUGAUGUGGAUUAAUUCGAUGCAACGCGAAAAACCUUACCUACCCUUGACAUGGAUGGAAUCCCGAAGAGAUUUG
rnacentral:rRNA from 1 species